rfam:Myotis brandtii contig200674, whole genome shotgun sequence.
GGCGGUUCUUGGGUGAUGCACCCCAGUAUCGGGCUCCCUCUUCUCUGGUUCCAGGUGUGUCACCCGAGAACCACA